AUAUAUAUAUAUAUAAUAAAUCGUCGAGGGUGAAGAGUAUGUAAGAAGUUUAAUCAUCAAAUUCUUAGGUUUCGAGAAUCCCAAUAUUACCCUCUAUUUAAUUAGUUUAAGACGAACAUUGUUUAGGAAUUGUGUGUAUAAUGCAUUGUUGAGAAUGUUGUUAAAAAAAAUAUAUU
rnacentral:sRNA from 1 species